UUAAGCGACUAAGCGUACACGGUGGAUGCCCUGGCAGUCAGAGGCGAUGAAGGACGUGCUAAUCUGCGAUAAGCGUCGGUAAGGUGAUAUGAACCGUUAUAACCGGCGAUUUCCGAAUGGGGAAACCCAGUGUGUUUCGACACACUAUCAUUAACUGAAUCCAUAGGUUAAUGAGGCGAACCGGGGGAACUGAAACAUCUAAGUACCCCGAGGAAAAGAAAUCAACCGAGAUUCCCCCAGUAGCGGCGAGCGAACGGGGAGCAGCCCAGAGCCUGAAUCAGUGUGUGUGUUAGUGGAAGCGUCUGGAAAGGCGCGCGAUACAGGGUGACAGCCCCGUACACAAAAAUGCACAUGCUGUGAGCUCGAUGAGUAGGGCGGGACACGUGGUAUCCUGUCUGAAUAUGGGGGGACCAUCCUCCAAGGCUAAAUACUCCUGACUGACCGAUAGUGAACCAGUACCGUGAGGGAAAGGCGAAAAGAACCCCGGCGAGGGGAGUGAAAAAGAACCUGAAACCGUGUACGUACAAGCAGUGGGAGCCUCUUUUAUGGGGUGACUGCGUACCUUUUGUAUAAUGGGUCAGCGACUUAUAUUCUGUAGCAAGGUUAACCGAAUAGGGGAGCCGAAGGGAAACCGAGUCUUAACUGGGCGUUAAGUUGCAGGGUAUAGACCCGAAACCCGGUGAUCUAGCCAUGGGCAGGUUGAAGGUUGGGUAACACUAACUGGAGGACCGAACCGACUAAUGUUGAAAAAUUAGCGGAUGACUUGUGGCUGGGGGUGAAAGGCCAAUCAAACCGGGAGAUAGCUGGUUCUCCCCGAAAGCUAUUUAGGUAGCGCCUCGUGAAUUCAUCUCCGGGGGUAGAGCACUGUUUCGGCAAGGGGGUCAUCCCGACUUACCAACCCGAUGCAAACUGCGAAUACCGGAGAAUGUUAUCACGGGAGACACACGGCGGGUGCUAACGUCCGUCGUGAAGAGGGAAACAACCCAGACCGCCAGCUAAGGUCCCAAAGUCAUGGUUAAGUGGGAAACGAUGUGGGAAGGCCCAGACAGCCAGGAUGUUGGCUUAGAAGCAGCCAUCAUUUAAAGAAAGCGUAAUAGCUCACUGGUCGAGUCGGCCUGCGCGGAAGAUGUAACGGGGCUAAACCAUGCACCGAAGCUGCGGCAGCGACGCUUAUGCGUUGUUGGGUAGGGGAGCGUUCUGUAAGCCUGCGAAGGUGUGCUGUGAGGCAUGCUGGAGGUAUCAGAAGUGCGAAUGCUGACAUAAGUAACGAUAAAGCGGGUGAAAAGCCCGCUCGCCGGAAGACCAAGGGUUCCUGUCCAACGUUAAUCGGGGCAGGGUGAGUCGACCCCUAAGGCGAGGCCGAAAGGCGUAGUCGAUGGGAAACAGGUUAAUAUUCCUGUACUUGGUGUUACUGCGAAGGGGGGACGGAGAAGGCUAUGUUGGCCGGGCGACGGUUGUCCCGGUUUAAGCGUGUAGGCUGGUUUUCCAGGCAAAUCCGGAAAAUCAAGGCUGAGGCGUGAUGACGAGGCACUACGGUGCUGAAGCAACAAAUGCCCUGCUUCCAGGAAAAGCCUCUAAGCAUCAGGUAACAUCAAAUCGUACCCCAAACCGACACAGGUGGUCAGGUAGAGAAUACCAAGGCGCUUGAGAGAACUCGGGUGAAGGAACUAGGCAAAAUGGUGCCGUAACUUCGGGAGAAGGCACGCUGAUAUGUAGGUGAAGCGACUUGCUCGUGGAGCUGAAAUCAGUCGAAGAUACCAGCUGGCUGCAACUGUUUAUUAAAAACACAGCACUGUGCAAACACGAAAGUGGACGUAUACGGUGUGACGCCUGCCCGGUGCCGGAAGGUUAAUUGAUGGGGUCAGCGCAAGCGAAGCUCUUGAUCGAAGCCCCGGUAAACGGCGGCCGUAACUAUAACGGUCCUAAGGUAGCGAAAUUCCUUGUCGGGUAAGUUCCGACCUGCACGAAUGGCGUAAUGAUGGCCAGGCUGUCUCCACCCGAGACUCAGUGAAAUUGAACUCGCUGUGAAGAUGCAGUGUACCCGCGGCAAGACGGAAAGACCCCGUGAACCUUUACUAUAGCUUGACACUGAACAUUGAGCCUUGAUGUGUAGGAUAGGUGGGAGGCUUUGAAGUGUGGACGCCAGUCUGCAUGGAGCCGACCUUGAAAUACCACCCUUUAAUGUUUGAUGUUCUAACGUUGGCCCCUAAUCGGGGUUGCGGACAGUGUCUGGUGGGUAGUUUGACUGGGGCGGUCUCCUCCUAAAGAGUAACGGAGGAGCACGAAGGUUGGCUAAUCCUGGUCGGACAUCAGGAGGUUAGUGCAAUGGCAUAAGCCAGCUUGACUGCGAGCGUGACGGCGCGAGCAGGUGCGAAAGCAGGUCAUAGUGAUCCGGUGGUUCUGAAUGGAAGGGCCAUCGCUCAACGGAUAAAAGGUACUCCGGGGAUAACAGGCUGAUACCGCCCAAGAGUUCAUAUCGACGGCGGUGUUUGGCACCUCGAUGUCGGCUCAUCACAUCCUGGGGCUGAAGUAGGUCCCAAGGGUAUGGCUGUUCGCCAUUUAAAGUGGUACGCGAGCUGGGUUUAGAACGUCGUGAGACAGUUCGGUCCCUAUCUGCCGUGGGCGCUGGAGAACUGAGGGGGGCUGCUCCUAGUACGAGAGGACCGGAGUGGACGCAUCACUGGUGUUCGGGUUGUCAUGCCAAUGGCACUGCCCGGUAGCUAAAUGCGGAAGAGAUAAGUGCUGAAAGCAUCUAAGCACGAAACUUGCCCCGAGAUGAGUUCUCCCUGACUCCUUGAGAGUCCUGAAGGAACGUUGAAGACGACGACGUUGAUAGGCCGGGUGUGUAAGCGCAGCGAUGCGUUGAGCUAACCGGUACUAAUGAACCGUGAGGCUUAACCUU
rnacentral:rRNA from 1 species